rnacentral:rRNA from 1 species
AGAGUUUGAUCCUGGCUCAGAUUGAACGCUGGCGGCAUGCCUUACACAUGCAAGUCGGACGGCAGCGCGGGGGCAACCCUGGCGGCGAGUGGCGAACGGGUGAGUAAUACAUCGGAACGUGUCCUGGAGUGGGGGAUAGCCCGGCGAAAGCCGGAUUAAUACCGCAUACGAUCUCUGGAUGAAAGCGGGGGACCGAAAGGCCUCGCGCUCAAGGAGCGGCCGAUGGCGGAUUAGCUAGUUGGUGGGGUAAAGGCCCACCAAGGCGACGAUCCGUAGCUGGUCUGAGAGGACGACCAGCCACACUGGGACUGAGACACGGCCCAGACUCCUACGGGAGGCAGCAGUGGGGAAUUUUGGACAAUGGGGGCAACCCUGAUCCAGCAAUGCCGCGUGUGUGAAGAAGGCCUUCGGGUUGUAAAGCACUUUUGUCCGGAAAGAAAACUUUCGCCCGAAUACGGUGGAGGGAUGACGGUACCGGAAGAAUAAGCACCGGCUAACUACGUGCCAGCAGCCGCGGUAAUACGUAGGGUGCGAGCGUUAAUCGGAAUUACUGGGCGUAAAGCGUGCGCAGGCGGUGAUGUAAGACCGAUGUGAAAUCCCCGGGCUUAACCUGGGAACUGCAUUGGUGACUGCAUUGCUGGAGUAUGGCAGAGGGGGGUGGAGUUCCACGUAGCAGUGAAAUGCGUAGAGAUGUGGAGGAACACCGAUGGCGAAGGCAGCCCCCUGGGCCAAUACUGACGCUCAUGCACGAAAGCGUGGGGAGCAAACAGGAUUAGAUACCCUAGUAGUCC